rnacentral:tRNA from 1 species
GCCAAUAUGGUGUAGUGGUUAGAAUGUCGGACUACUAGGACUUCGGAGGAGCAGGGUUCAAAUCCCUGCUUGCCUAUGAGAUG